UACGUAGGUGGCAAGCGAUACUCGGAAUCACUAGGCGUAAAGCGCAGGUAGGCGGUUUGGUAAGUCUUUUGUGAAAGCUCCUGGCUUAACUGGGAGAGGUCAAAGGAAACUACCAGGCUAGAGUGUGGCAGAGGAAGCUGGAAUUCCCGGUGUAGCGGUGAAAUGCGUAGAUAUCGGGAGGAAUACCUAUGGCGAAAGCAGGCUUCUGGGCCAUCACUGACGCUGAUCUGCGAAAGCUAGGGGAGCAAACAGG
rnacentral:rRNA from 1 species